rnacentral:rRNA from 1 species
AUUGAACGCUGGCGGCAGGCCUAACACAUGCAAGUCGAGCGGGGUUUUCGGACCUAGCGGCGGACGGGUGAGUAAUGCGUAGGAAGCUACCCGAUAGAGGGGGAUACCAGUUGGAAACGACUGUUAAUACCGCAUAAUGUCUACGGACCAAAGUGUGGGACCUUCGGGCCACAUGCUAUCGGAUGUGCCUACGUGGGAUUAGCUAGUUGGUGAGGUAAUGGCUCACCAAGGCGACGAUCCCUAGCUGGUUUGGGAGGAUGAUCAGCCACACUGGAACUGAGACACGGUCCAGACUCCUACGGGAGGCAGCAGUGGGGAAUAUUGGACAAUGGGCGCAAGCCUGAUCCAGCCAUGCCGCGUGUGUGAAGAAGGCCUUCGGGUUGUAAAGCACUUUCAGUAAGGAGGAAGCGUUGAGUGUUAAUAGUACUCAGCGUUGACGUUACUUACAGAAGAAGCACCGGCUAACUCUGUGCCAGCAGCCGCGGUAAAAC